rnacentral:lncRNA from 1 species
AAUUACAGGAUGAGCAUCCCAGAGACAAAGCCUGGGCCCUGGGAGUCACCAGCCAGUCACCAGCCACAGCUCAUUCCCGGCUCUGCCCCGUGGCACUGACAUACAACCCUGAGGACACCGCUUCCUUCUCUCUGCAGCUGGACUUCCUCAUCUGUCACCCAGACCCCACCAUGCCUGUCAUCUGCCGAUGCCUCCAAGGCAUCACACCUACCAUCAGGCAGCACCCAUUCCCAUGCAGAAUCUCACAGCUCAGGAGGCAAGGAUCCCCAUUCCACAGAUGAAGAAACUGAGUCUGGGGGAGUUUAAGCAAUUCUCUGGAUGGCACAGCCAGAGUUUGAGCCCUGGUCUGUCUGCCCUUGAAGCACGUGACUGAAAGGUGCGCUGCCCUUCUGAGUGGAAUCCCACAUCCUGCCGGAUACCAUUUGGACACAUAUUCACACCCUACCAGACCGGCUCGUAGAAGUUUGGGGCCACCAACACCUCCCAACGACCCUCCAUCUUCUCUCUGCAGAACCAUCUGGGGGAUGGAGGCAUUCCUACAACCAAUUCCCCCGAGCAGGGAGAAGCCCCAACUGAGAAAAGCCCUGUGUGACUCCCAGAUACAAACUCAGAUCGGGAUAAAGCCCAGGAGGUACUUCCAAAAGCCACCUGCUCAGACUGGGUACGCAGGGUACAGUUGUUCAUCCCACAGCCACUUCAACUGGCCAGGCUUUUCUCAAAAGCCAACGGUGGAUCCAACCCCCAGGUGGGCUUCUCCUCCCUCCCCUGCCCUUGAAGUUCGAGGCCAGCAGACUCGGUGGCCUUCUAGAGACCGGGGGUCUGGCUCUGGGUCUGAUACUAACCCGCUAUGCACCCUUGGACAAAUUCAUACCUUUCUGGGUCUUGAUUUUUCUUAUCUGCAGAAUAUGGGGGUUGGAUCAGAUGAUCUCUAAGUCCUUUGCAUUCUAGCACUUCACAACUCUCUGUAGGUCCUGAAGCUAUUAUCUCCUCAACUGUGAUAGGAAAAUGAUGAGGCUCCCAGAGGCUGGCUACAUCCACCUCCCCCCACCCCACCCUGCACGAUUGGCAGCUGCCGUCCCGUGGCUUCAUACCUUCUUUCAGGCCACCCUUGAUGCUUAUUUUAAGCUGAAUUCCUUUGGAUGGAGACACAGGGGAUUGGGGGUAGGGGUGGGGUAAAACACCCUGAUUUUUCACAGCCACAUUUCUUGGGGCCUGGUGGUGACCCAGGAUCUAUCAAACUCCAGUGACCCAAAAGUCCUGUGUCUUCAUCAAGGGAGAGUGUCCUGCUUAUUUUGGGAAUUUACUAGAUGUGAGGAAGAACAGAGACAAGCAACCAGACUCUCGUUUCAAAAUAUUCUAUCACCUGAUUUCUGGAUCCUCAGCAGGGAAAUGCAGAAACCCCCCAAAACCAAAGCACUCCAUGUGUUAUGGGAAUGUUUCCUGCCCUGCUGAGAAGCCGGGUAACAGAAUGCAGGUGAACUCGGGAGUCUGCCUUCUUGGGUCAGCUGAUUUGCAAUGUGACCUUGGGCAAGUGACUUAGUCUCUCUCAGCCUCGGUUUCCUCGUCUGUAAAACAAGGGCAAUAACAGUUUGUAGCUCAUGGGGGAGGUGUGAGAACUGCAGGAGUUCAUCUUCUUACAAUGCUCAGCCCAGUGCCUGGCACACAGCACAUGUUCAACAAACAUCAGCUAUUUUUGAUCAUUCAUUUAACUUGAUCAGACAACUCCCUUAGAUCCUGCAGCAGCUAGGGCACAGAACACAACUGGGGCCCCAGCUUAGGUGUUAAAUAAGUACCUUUUCUUGAUUCAGUAUAAAGAAAAUAAACAUUUAUUGAAAAUAUCUAUGAACCAAGCAGUGAGCUAAUUGUUUUUACACAAUUUCUCAUUGAACCCUCUUGGAAACCCACUAAGGUUAAUAUUAUUGUCCUCACCUAACAGACCAGAAAACAAAGGCUCAAAGUGGUUUUGUGAUUUGCCUGAGGUCAUGGCUAGGAAGUGACCUGGUAAAGAUUCAAAUCCUAGCUUUCUGACUCCGGAGCCACCUUCUUCCAACUGGCAUCCCUUUCAGGGUGGUGUCUUUGAUUCCUGAUUCUAGUGAGUCCUGCGUUAGCAUGUCCUUAAUGAGCUUAAAUUAAGAGUGAAACUGAAUUCUCUUUUCAAU